rnacentral:lncRNA from 1 species
UGUGGGCCUGGCCUGGCCCCUGUCCCGGGAUAGAAAGGGUGAAUCGCACCGCGGGGGUGCGGCUGCGUUGAGAUUGCUUCCGGAAUGAGGCCUUGGGAACCAAAGUCAUUGACCUCCCCACAGUGAAGAAGUUUCUACAGCCUGGCAGUCAACGGAAGCCUUUUGAGGAUGAGAAAUGUGUAGAAGAGCUUAAGAGCUUCUUUUGCAAGACUGGACAAGAUUUCACAUAGAUUCCCUGCCUUCCAGGAGUUCUGGCAAUGAAGUGCUCAUGGUGUCCCAGUAGUCAUGGGGUCAACAAAAGUUUCCAACAAUUAUGUGUCAGUCUUGUCAGACAUGAACCAUACAUGGUUCCGAACAAUAUCUCGUGUAUUGGGUGUUGAACAAAUUUGAAAUCAUGAUCACCUCCUAAGAUGUGCCUUUGAAUUUAAAUAAAGCAGAGAGAGAGAGAGAGAGAGAGAGAGAGAGAGAGAGAGAGAGAGAGAGAGAGAUGUUUAAACUAAGAUCUAUUUAAAUCUUGUCAUUUCUCACCUGUUAUGGACCCUGUCAAAAAAUUAAGCAGAAUUUUUCAUCAGAUGCUUUGACCAAUGCAAAAAUACUCCUUUAUGAUGUGUUUUUAUAACUGAGUAAUAACACAUUUUUGUAAAGAAUCCUGUUCCUUCAAGUAAUUUUUCUU